UUGAAUUGUUCAAACCAAAUAAAAAAAUAGAAAUGAUAGGAGGAUAUUAAAAGCCUCACCAUAAAUGACUAAUUUUUUUUAUAAAGCGAUUUGAUUAAUAUAAAAGAAGUUUAAAAGAUUACAGUAAAAUAAAUAUUACCAUGAAAAUUUAGAAAGAAUAUAGUUUACUCCACCUUGAGCAAGGCUUCUUUCCAUGUCUCCAUCGCGACACAUUCCGAUAUAAAAUCUGAUGUUUUUUUGAAUCUCCUAUCAUCAUAUAUGGUGUUUAAGUCUUUGAUGGAUUCUUUGGCAACUAAAUCUAUUGGGCGUGAGAUACAUGUUGGCAAAGUGUUCCAGUUGAAGCUCCUAGUAAGACGUUGAUGGCUCCUAUUCCAUCGAUGAGGUCGCCGAUCUGCACAUCUCAUUCCACAAUGUAUAGCUUGUACAAAGCAUGAACUCAUUCCACACUUUCCAACAUAAUUCACAAUUGAUAAAAUAGGUGUGCACUUUUUUCAUCUUUACUACCACAUAGCAAUCAUUUGGAUGGAACCCUAAAUCUCAAGCUACGUAAUUUAUCGAAGGGGCCCUUAAUUUCCAUCAUUGAAGGCUCCAUACGCAGAGAAAAUUUCUUGAGGUCCUACAUGUUCAAAUGGCGCUUGACAGAGGGUCCGGAAUAUUUAUCGGUAGUAGCUGUUUGCGUAUAAAAUCGAAGAAAAACAUCUGAGUAGGAGAAGUGUUGGUCACCGCAUAAUUUGGUCCAUCUGUGAAGCAUUUUUUAAUUGCUUCCCGUGUACGCAAUAUAUGUGACCAAUGCAGCGAGUACUCUUUAGACCUUGAUUGUAUGUUGAUUAAGGCUUGAUACCAGAUGUAAUCCAUCUAGCCCACAUCGAUUUACCUUCCCAAAUUCUACGAACCCUCUUUAUCGCCGCCACUCUAUCCAUCUGUCUUGGAUCAUUUAAUCCCAAACCACCAUCUUUUUUCCUCUUGAUCAUUCUGUUCUUG
rnacentral:lncRNA from 1 species